UACGUAGGGGGCAAGCGUUGUCCGGAAUCAUUGGGCGUAAAGCGCGUGUAGGCGGCUCGAUAAGUCUGCUGUGAAAGUCCAGGCUCAACCCUGGGAUGCCGGUGGAUACUGUCGAGCUCGAGUCCGGAAGAGGCGAGUGGAAUUCCUGGUGUAGCGGUGAAAUGCGCAGAUAUCAGGAGGAACACCGGUGGCGAAGGCGGGUCUCUGGGCCGAUACUGCGUGGAGGAGCGAAAGCGUGGGGAGCGAACAGG
rnacentral:rRNA from 1 species